rnacentral:tRNA from 1 species
GCACAGGUGGCCGAGUGGUUAAUGGCAGCAGACUGUAAAUCUGCCCGUCAAUGACGUACGGAGGUUCGAAUCCUCCCCUGUGCACCA